CUACUGUCACCACGCCUUGGUGCUCGGGAAAUCCGGUGUGAUGCCGGUGCGGCCCUCGCCACUGUGAUCGGGAUGUCCGGCUCCAGCCCUCGCGGCAGCCACUGGGCGCACACGCGCCCGGGAAGGCGGAGACCGGACGGUACGACCCGUCAGCCAGGAGACCGGCCAAGGCGCGUUGUCCAUC
rnacentral:ncRNA from 2 species